rnacentral:tRNA from 1 species
UAUAUUUUGGUGUAUGAUGCACAAAAGUUUUUGAUACUUUCAGAAAUAGUUUAAAUCUAUUAAAUAUAA